GUGGGGAAUAUUGGACAAUGGGCGAAAGCCUGAUCCAGCCAUGCCGCGUGUGUGAAGAAGGUCUUCGGAUUGUAAAGUACUUUAAGUUGGGAGGAAGGGUAGUAACCUAAUACGUUGCUACUUUGACGUUACCGACAGAAUAAGCACCGGCUAACUUCGUGCCAGCAGCCGCGGUAAUACGAAGGGUGCAAGCGUUAAUCGGAAUUACUGGGCGUAAAGCGCGCGUAGGUGGUUCAGUAAGUUGGAAGUGAAAUCCCCGGGCUCAACCUGGGAACUGCUUUCAAAACUGCUGAGCUAGAGUACGGUAGAGGGUGGUGGAAUUUCCUGUGUAGCGGUGAAAUGCGUAGAUAUAGGAAGGAACACCAGUGGCGAAGGCGACCACCUGGACUGAUACUGACACUGAGGUGCGAAAGCGUGGGGAGCAAACAGGAUUAGAUACCCGAGUAGUCC
rnacentral:rRNA from 1 species